GCCCGGGCUNACCUGGAACUGCAUUCCAACUGAUGAACUAGAGUACGAUAGAGGGGGUAGAAUUCAGAGUGUAGCGGUGAAAUGCGUAGAUAUUCUGAGGAAUACCGGUGGCGAAGGCGGCCCCCNGGAUUGAUACUGACACUGAGGUGCGAAAGCGUGGUAGCGAACAGGAUUAGAUACCCUGGUAGUCCACGCCGUAAACGAUGACAACUAGCUGUUGGGAGACUAUGUCUUUCAGUGGCGCAGCUAACGCUUUAAGUUGUCCGCCUGGGGAGUACGGCCGCAAGGCUAAAACUCAAAUGAAUUGACGGGGACCCGCACAAGUAGUGGAGCAUGUGGUUUAAUUCGNAGAUACGCGCAGAACCUUACCAACACUUGACAUNUUCGUCGCGACUUUAAGAGAUUAAAGUNUUCGGUUCGGCCGGACGAAACACAGGUGCUGCAUGGCNGUCGUCAGCUCGUGUCGUGAGAUGUUGGGUUAAGUCCCGCAACGAGCGCAACCCUCACUUUUAGUUGCCAUCAUUAAGUUGGGCACUCUGAAAGAACUGCCAGUGAUAAGCUGGAGGAAGGUGGGGACGACGUCACGUCAUCAUGGCCCUUACGCAUAGGGCUACACACNUGCUACAAUGGAGAAUACAGACGGACGCUAAGCCGCGAGGUGGUGCCAAUCCUAGAAAAUUCUUCGUAGUCCGGAUUGGAGUCUGCAACUCGACUCCAUGAAGUCGGAAUCGCUNGUAAUCGCGAAUCAGCAUGUCGCGGUGAAUACGUUCUCGGGUCUUGUACACACCGCCCGUCAUACCA
rnacentral:rRNA from 1 species